ACGGAGGGUGCAAGCGUUGUCCGGAUUCAUUGGGUUUAAAGGGUGCGUAGGCGGAUUAGUAAGUCAGUGGUGAAAUCCUACAGCUUAACUGUAGAACUGCCAUUGAUACUGCUGGUCUUGAGUACGUCUGAGGUGGUUGGAAUGAGUGGUGUAGCGGUGAAAUGCAUAGAGAUCACUCAGAACACCGAUUGCGAAGGCAGAUCACUAAGACGUAACUGACGCUGAGGCACGAAAGCGUGGGGAGCGAACAGG
rnacentral:rRNA from 1 species